UUGAACGGCUGGCGGCAUGCCUUACACAUGCAAGUCGAACGGUAACGCGGGGGCUAACCUGGCCGACGAGUGGCGAACGGGUGAGUAAUGUAUCGGAACGUGCCCAGUAGUGGGGAUUAGCCCGGCGAAAGCCGGAGCUAAUACCGCAUACGACCCUGAAGGGGUGAAAGCGGGGGGAUCGCAAGACCUCGCGUAUUGGAGCGGCCGAUAUCAGAUUAGGCUAGUUGGUGGGGUAAAGGCCUACCAAGCCGACGAUCUGUAGCUGGUCUGAGAGGAUGAUCCGCCACACUGGGACUGAGACACGGCCCAGACUCCUACGGGACGGCAGCCAGUGGGGAAUUUUGGACAAUGGGCGCAAGCCUGAUCCAGCCAUGCCGCGUGAGGGAAGAAGGCCUUCGGGUUGUAAACGCUCUUUGUCAGACGGAAGAAACUCUUUCGGGCUAAUACCCUGGAGGCGAUGACGGUACUUGAAGAAUAAGCACCGGCUAACUACGUGCCAGCAGCCGCGGUAAUACGUAGGGUGCAAGCGUUAAUCGGAAUUACUGGGCGUAAAGCGCGGCGCAGGCGGUUGUGUAAGACAGAUGUGAAAUCCCCGGGCUCUAACCUGGGAACUGCCUUGUGACUGCACGGCUGGAGUACGGCAGAGGGGGAUGGAAUUCCAGCGUGUAGCAGUGAAAUGCGUAGAUAUGCGGAAGGAACACCGAUGGCGAAGGCAAUCCCCUGGGCCUGCACUGACGCUCAUGCACGAAAGCGUGGGGAGCAAACAGGAUUAGAUACCCUGGUAGUCCACGCCCUAAACGAUGUCAACUGGUUGUUCGGAAGGUACUUCUCUGAGUAACGUAGCUAACGCGUGAAGUCUGACCGCCUGGGGAGUACGGCCGCAAGGUUGAAAACUCAAAGGAAUUGACGGGGACCCGCACAAGCGGUGGAUGAUGUGGUUAAUUCGAUGGCAACGCGAAAACCUUACCUACCCUUGACAUGCCAUGGAAUCCUUGCAGAGAUAGUGGAGUGCCUUCGAGGAGAACCUGGACACAGGUGCUGCAUGGCCUGUCGUCCAGCUCGUUGUCGUGAGAUGUUGGGUUAAGUCCCGCAACGAGCGCAACCCUUGUCCUAGUUGCCUACAUUGAAGUGGGCACUCUAAUCGAGACUGCCGGUGACAAACCGGAGGAAGGUGGGGAUGACGUCAGGUCCUCAUGGCCCUUAUGGGUAGGGCUUACACACGUCAUACAAUGGCCGGUACAGAGGGCUGCCAACCGCGAGGGGGAGCUAAUCCCAGUAAAACCGGUCGUAGUCCGGAUCGCAGUCUGCAACUCGACUGCGUGAAGUCGGAAUCGCUAGUAAUCGCGGAUCAGCAUUGCCGCGGUGAAUACGUUCCCGGGUCUUGUACACACCGCCCGUCACACCAUGGGAGCGGGGUUCUAGCCAGAAGUAGGUAGCUAACCGCAAGGGAGGGGCGCUUACCACGUGAGGAUUCGUGACUGGGGUG
rnacentral:rRNA from 1 species